rnacentral:rRNA from 1 species
UCCUGGCUGUAAACCCUGCCCGCUAGGUGUUGCGCGCUCUUAGAGGGUGCGCAGUGCCGGAGCGAAGGCGAUAAGCGGGCCGCCUGGGAAGUACGCCCGCAAGGGUGAAACUUAAACCAAUUGGCGGGGGAGCACCACAAGGGGUGAAGUCUGCGGUUCAAUUGGAUUCAACGCCGGAAAUCUCACCGGGGGCGACGGCAGGAUGAAGGCCAGUCUGAAGGGCUUGCUGGACG